CUCCUCUGGGCAGCUGUGCGUGUCACAGCGGCGCCUGAGCAGCACUGCUGUCCUCGCUGCCCUUGCCCGCUGUGCCCACUUGGGAAGGUGGGGGGGACAUGUGCGGUGCUGAGAGGCCGAGUCCAAUGGCAGCCACUGAUCCGCGCUGUCAGGGUGAAGGGAAGCACUGGGGUUCUUCCCAUGGGCCAUGGGCAAGGGCGUCUUGGAGCUCAGCCUGCUCAUACAGGGUGAGGGUGCUGAUGCCAAAAGCCCCCUUGGAAUGGGUUACAGCAUCAGCUGCUCUGCUUUACAGAUGGAAAGCCAUUCAUUCUUUUAGCAAACGGCUGCAAGUUGGAGAAGAUGCCCUCCUGUCCUGGGAAUGCAUCUCCCUGGGCUUUAUUUCCUGACAAGAGAAGUCUUCAAAGGACUGGACAAAACCAGUCUCUCUGCUGGCCAUUUGGACUGCAGAACUGCCUGGCUUGUUGCUCUUGCUCUUGUUGUUGUUGUGGUUGCUGCCCAGCUGACCACAAAGGGUUCAGAGCCCCAGACAGUGGGGCUUUCAUAUCUCCUGGAAGGUGAUAUUUCUGCAUGAAAGUGAGAAUCUUGCAUUUUGUUUCCCUCAGGAAGAAUGGUAAACGUGGAAAAUCCCAUACGAAAAUACAUUGAACUGGAAAAUCUCGGCAGCGGGGCUUUUGGAGAGGUUUCUAGAGCACUUGACAUUGCCACAGGAGGAGAGGUAAAUGUCAACAGCCCCUGCAUACUCUGCUGCUCUCAAGGCCUUUCCCUACAGGUGACAUCUGUGCCUGGAGCUUUGGGUAGAGCUGUGCAACAAAGGCACAAGAAGCACAGACUGGUGCCAGCCUGCAAAUUGCACUUGGGACAGUCUUUGUCCUUCUCAGCUGCCAGUAGGAAGGCAAGGAGGGCAGUGGUUCCUUGCAAAGAAGGACGUGCCCACUUGCUCUCAAUUGCUAAAACCAAGGUUUAGCAUCUCACUUAGAGCAUCUCACUGCUCUUUGGGGCUGCAGCUUCAGAGUCCUGAAUCCUCAUUUCUGGCUGACAGCAAAUACAUCUGAAUGUUACUGGUAGCUCAUUAGCCACUUGGGAGCUGUACGUAGGGAGAGAUCUGCAAGGUGUCCCUAAAAGCCCAAAGGCCUGCCUGUAUCCACAGAGUACCAAGGCACAGAUUACCUCUCUGGAAGUGCAGGCAGAGCAGCAGAGAGUGUGGUCAGAGCUUUGUGGGUGAGAGUUGAUACACCUUUGUUACCAAGUGGACAAGGCAAAGUGUCAGUGGUCAGGUGUCAUGUAACUGUCCCCAAGGGAGCAGAGCAAUGGGCUGUUGGAUUGUCACUUCCUAAUUACUCCAAUGUCUAAUCACAAGGUGCUUUGGCACAGCUUGGCUGUGCCGUUCCAGAAUCACUUACUCCAUGUGAGAAGCUCCAUGCCAACUUCCAAAGUUACAAAUUUUCAAUAUUAUUUUAGGUGGCCAUAAAGAAAAUCAAUCUUCAAGAACUGGUCGGGAAGGAAGCAACUGCUUAUGAACUCAUGGUCAUGAAAAUGAAGAGGAACCCCAGCAUGGUGACCUAUUUAGAGAGGUGAGGGGUUCUUGUUUUAUCCCACCAAUAUUUAUUUACAUACUUCAUGCCUGCAAUGUUAAAAACCCACUUUGGAUACUGGCAGAAAAAAG
ensembl:lncRNA